rnacentral:lncRNA from 1 species
CAGGCAUUAGAUUCUCAUAGGGACAGCGCAACCUAGAUCCCUCACAUGCACGGUUCACAAAUAGGGUGUGAGCUCCUAUGAGAAUCUAAUGCUGCUGCUGAUCUGAGAGGAGGAGGAGCUCAGGCAGGAAUGUGAGCAAAGGGGAGUGGCUGUACAUACAGAUGAAGCUUCCCUCGCUUGACACCACUCACCUCCUGCUGUGUGGCUCCUUACAGCUCCAUGGCUCAGGGGUUGGAGACCCCUGCUCAAGUGCAUCCAAAAGGACCCUUCCCACAGCAGUCUUCCUAGUGGUCAAGUGCAGCAACCACUUAACUCCCAAGGCAUGUGCCUCAGCUGGCAUUUCAUCACAAUCAACAGUAAGUGGUAGCUUGAGUCAUUGUGAGGUCACUUCCUGGAGAUCACCAGCAUUCCAUUUCCCAUUGGCAAGGAGCUCAGCACUGCCCCUUGGAUAACCAAACCUAUGCCCAAAUCCCAUCUGUGUGGGUUUAUCUCCUGGGACCCUUCCUAGCAUAUUAGUCAGAGUCCAAUCAGGAGACAUAAACCACUCAAAGGUUUAAAGUGGUAAAAUUUAAUACAGAGAAUUAUUCAUUAUAACAGGGGAACAGCAUAAUGAGAGAUUGGCUAGCACAAAGUAAAGAGAACUCUGGAAAAUAAAAGACUAGCACAGGCCAGACAUCAUGGCUCAUGCCUGAAAUUCCAGCAAUUUCAGAAGCCAACGCAGUAGGAUUGCUUGAGGCCAGGAGCUAGAGACCGGCCUGGACAGCACAGCAAGACCCUGUCUCUAACCAAAAAAAGAAAAAAAUUAGCUGGGAGUGCUGGUUCACACUUGCAGUCCCAGCUACUUGGGAAGCUGAUAUGGGAGGGUAGUUUGAGCAUGGGAGGUCAAGGCUGCAGUGAGUCAUGAUUAUGCCAUUACAGUCAUCAAGCCUGGGUGACAGAGCAAGACCCUGUCUCAAAGAACAAAACAACAACAACCAUUUACAGACAGAAAAGAAAUAGAGCUAAUAAGCUAAGGAAAGAUGUUAAAAUGUGACAAAGUAACAUGAGGUCUUUUAUCUAUUUAAAAUAAUGAAAAAAACUUAUUAAAUUAUAAUACCCUGUGCUGGCAGAGGUGCAGUGAAAUGGACACUUUCUUAUACUAUGAGGGGUGUUUAAGUAGUACAUAGCCUUCCAGGGUAAAGCUUGGCAAUUUUUUAAAAUAAUAGAGACAGGGUCUCACCUUACUGCCUCCUCCAACUCUUGGCCUCAAGCAAUCGUCCUGUCUUAGCCUCCAAAGGGCUGGGAUUAUAGCUGGGAGGCACCCAAAACCUUGUCAGUUUACAUCAAGGGCAAUGAGAAUGUCCAUUCACCAUUACUCACAGUAAUCUUACUUCUGGAAAUACCUUGGGGAGACAAUUCAAUCUAAACAAAAGGUCAACUGUACAAACACAGUGAAAAUCUAGGGGUAAUUGAAGACAGAGUAGUUAAAUGGAAUAAACAGUUAUAAGAAAUUAAACUAUGAUAUUUAUAGGCACCUGGUAAAAGGUCACUUCAUGUUAGCUGCUACUUUUUUGAGACAGGGUGUCACUCUGUCACCCAGACUGGAGUGCAGAGGCCUGAUCAUGACUCACUGCAGUCUCAGCUUCCCUGGGCUCAAGUGAUCUUCCCACCUCAGCCUCCCAAGUAGCUGGGACUACAGGAACACAUCACCACACUAGGCUAAUUCAUGUAUUUUUCUGUAGAGAUGGUGACUCCCUUUCUUUCCGAGACCUGUCUCAAACUCUUGAACUCAAGCCAUCCUCCUGCCUCAGCCUCCCAAAGUAUUGUGAUUAAUGGUGUGAGCCACCACACUUGGCCAGUUGCUACUUUUAUCAAUAUUAUUAUUCCACUCUAUUAAAAAUUAUUUGUCAUUACAAAUUAUUAUUUUAAAGGCUAUGGAACAAUAUGUGUCCCACAGCAUAAUUGUAAAACCACAUACAGUUGUCCCUUGGUAUACAGAGAGAAUUAGUUCCAGCCACCUAUCUCUGCAUAUAUCAAAAUCCAUGCAUACUCACGUUUCGCAGUCAUCCCUCUGGAACCCACAUAUAGAAAAAGUCCAAAUAUGAGUUGGGCAUAGAGGCAAGCACCUAUAGUCUCAGCAACUUGGGAGGCUGAGGCAGGAGGAUCCUUAGCCCAGGAGUUCAAAGCUGCAGCGAGCUGUGAUGGCACCACUGUACUCCAGCCUGGGUGACAGGGUGAGACCCCAUC